rnacentral:rRNA from 1 species
UGCCUCAGUAACGGCGAGUGAAGCGGCAAGAGCUCAAAUUUGAAAGCUGGCUCCUUCGGGGUCCGCAUUGUAAUUUGCAGAGGAUGCUUCGGGUGCGGCCCCUGUCUAAGUGCCCUGGAACGGGCCGUCAGAGAGGGUGAGAAUCCCGUCUGGGAUGGGGUGUCCGCGCCCGUGUGAAGCUCCUUCGACGAGUCGAGUUGUUUGGGAAUGCAGCUCUAAAUGGGUGGUAAAUUUCAUCUAAAGCUAAAUACUGGCCGGAGACCGAUAGCGCACAAGUAGAGUGAUCGAAAGAUGAAAAGCACUUUGAAAAGAGAGUUAAAAAGCACGUGAAAUUGUUGAAAGGGAAGCGCUUGCGACCAGACUCGCCUCCAGGGUUCAGCCGGCAUUCGUGCCGGUGUACUUCCCUGGGGGCGGGCCAGCGUCGGUUUGGGCGGCCGGUCAAAGGCUCCCGGAAUGUAGUGCCCUCCGGGGCACCUUAUAGCCGGGAGUGCAAUGCGGCCAGCCUGGACCGAGGAACGCGCUUCGGCACGGACGCUGGCAUAAUGGUCGUA